rnacentral:rRNA from 1 species
UACGAGUGCCCCAAGCGUUAUCCGGAUUUAUUGGGCGUAAAGAGUCUGUAGGUGGCUUGGUAAGUCGAUGGUCAAAUCCAUAAGCUCAACUUGUGGACCGCCACCGAAACUACUAAGCUAGAGGUUGGGAGAGGUAGAUGGAAUUGCCGGUGUAGGGGUAAAAUCCGUUAAUAUCGGCAAGAACACCAAAUGCGAAGGCUUUCUACUGGAACACACCUGACACUGAGAGACGAAAGCAUGGGGAGCGAAUGGG